rnacentral:rRNA from 1 species
UGGGGAAUUUUGGACAAUGGGGGAAACCCUGAUCCAGCCAUCCCGCGUGUGCUAUGAAGGCCUUCGGGUUGUAAAGCACUUUUGGCAGGAAAGAAACGUCAUGGGUUAAUACCCCGUGAAACUGACGGUACCUGCAGAAUAAGCACCGGCUAACUACGUGCCAGCAGCCGCGGUAAUACGUAGGGUGCAAGCGUUAAUCGGAAUUACUGGGCGUAAAGCGUGCGCAGGCGGUUCGGAAAGAAAGAUGUGAAAUCCCAGAGCUCAACUUUGGAACUGCAUUUUUAACUACCGGGCUAGAGUGUGUCAGAGGGAGGUGGAAUUCCGCGUGUAGCAGUGAAAUGCGUAGAUAUGCGGAGGAACACCGAUGGCGAAGGCAGCCUCCUGGGAUAACACUGACGCUCAUGCACGAAAGCGUGGGGAGCAAACAGG